rnacentral:tRNA from 1 species
CGGCUCGUUGGUCAAGAGGUUAAGACACCGCCCUUUCACGGCGGUAACAGGGGUUCAAUUCCCCUACGAGUCGUC